AUCAUUUUCAUCUUCACGCCACCACCAUUUUUAACUUUUUCUUUACUUACAAAUAGGCCAUUUCCGCCAUUUCCACCAUUUUCAAGCUUUUUAAACGUAAUUUUUCCAACUUCUUUUAUGAUUCCUUAGCAAAAUCAGUAGAGAAGCCUAUUAGCCACCUUAAUUUCAUGAAAAAAGUAUCUAUAAUUGUCUUAGAGGAGAGAGAAAAUAAGAAUUAGGGUUUGAAUUCAAGCAAGCAAGAAAAAGAAAAGUGAAGGAUUAGUUGGAGAAAAAGGCAAGGAAGUAGGCAAGGAGUAAAUAAAGAAGAAAAGAUUUCAUCCAAGCUUUGGUUGUAAAGGUUAGAUUUGUGGUGCUAGAGUGGAGGAUCAACUUCAGCUCAUCUCAUCACAUCACAAGCUUGGAAGAAAGCAUGGUUUGAAUAUUUUGGUUUUAACUAUGGCAUGUACAUAGAGGUAUUAGGUGAUGAAAAUUGAAAUAUGGAAAUAUUGUUGAAAGAGGGGGCACAUCACAAUGAUAAGAAUUUCACUUCGUGACGAGGCAAGUCAAAGAGUGACGUUGCAAAGAGGAAUCCCCCGACGUUGCAACAUCAACCCAAAAUUUUGGAAACUUUACAUUCUAGUCCUUGUUCACACUCAGACCAUUAAAAGAGUUAUCAUAAACCCGUUCAUAACUGAAUUUGUGUUCAAUUUGUGUUGUAAAUGUAUAAUGAUCCUAAUAAUUUUAUUGAGAAGAUAAAAAUGAAUU